UCCAAGGGUUCCUGCUUAAAGCUAAUCUGAGCAGGGUAAGCCGACCCCUAAGGCGAGGCCGAAAGGCGUAGUCGAUGGGAACCAGGUUAAUAUUCCUGGGCCAGAUGGAAGUGACGGAUCUCGAGGGUAGUUCAUCCUUAUCGGAUUGAAUGGGCUGCUUAGAGGUCCCUGGAAAUAGCUCCAUCGCUAGAUCGUACCCUAAACCGACACAGGUGGAUAGGUAGAGAAUACCAAGGCGCUUGAGAGAACUAUGUUGAAGGAACUCGGCAAAAUACCUCCGUAAGUUCGCGAGAAGGAGGCCCGGUUCCUAGGCAACUAGGGGCUGGGGGCACAAACCAGGGGGUGGCGACUGUUUAUUAAAAACACAGGGCUCUGCGAAGUCGUAAGACGACGUAUAGGGUCUGACGCCUGCCCGGUGCCUGAAGGUUAAAAGGAGGAGUGAGAGCUCUGAAUUGAAGCCCAGGUAAACGGCGGCCGUAACUAUAACGGUCCUAAGGUAGCGAAAUUCCUUGUCGGGUAAGUUCCGACCUGCACGAAUGGCGUAACGACUUCCCCGCUGUCUCCAACAUAGACUCAGCGAAAUUGAAUUACCGGUCAAGAUGCCGGUUACCCGCGGUUAGACGGAAAGACCCCGUGCACCUUUACUACAACUUCACACUGGCAUUAGGCCGAACAUGUGCAGGAUAGGUGGUGGGCUUUGAAACGUGGACGCCAGUCUGCGUGGAGCCUCCCUUGAGAUACCACCCUUGUUCUGCUUGAUGUCUAACCGCGGUCCGUUAUCCGGAUCCGGGACCCUGUGUGGUGGGUAGUUUGACUGGGGCGGUCGCCUCCUAAAUCGUAACGGAGGCGCGCGAAGGUUGGCUCAGAGCGGUCGGAAAUCGCUCGUUGAGUGCAAUGGCAGAAGCCAGCCUGACUGCGAGACUGACAAGUCGAGCAGAGUCGAAAGACGGCCAUAGUGAUCCGGUGGUCCCAAGUGGGAGGGCCAUCGCUCAACGGAUAAAAGGUACGCCGGGGAUAACAGGCUGAUACUGCCCAAGAGUCCAUAUCGACGGCAGUGUUUGGCACCUCGAUGUCGGCUCAUCUCAUCCUGGGGCUGGAGCAGGUCCCAAGGGUACGGCUGUUCGCCGUUUAAAGAGGUACGUGAGCUGGGUUUAGAACGUCGUGAGACAGUUCGGUCCCUAUCUUCCGUGGGUGUAGGAUACUUGAGAGGAGUUGCCCCUAGUACGAGAGGACCGGGGUGAACGAUCCACUGGUGGACCAGUUGUUAUGCCAAUAGCAGUGCUGGGUAGCUAUGAUCGGACAGGAUAACCGCUGAAGGCAUCUAAGCGGGAAGCCCCCCUCAAAACAAGGUAUCCCUGAGAGCCGA
rnacentral:rRNA from 1 species